rnacentral:rRNA from 1 species
UACAGAGGGUGCGAGCGUUGUUCGGAAUUAUUGGGCGUAAAGGGUGCGCAGGUGGCUGGGUAAGUUUGAUGUGAAAGCCCCGGGCUUAACCCGGGAACGGCAUUGAAUACUAUCUGGCUGGAGGGUUGGAGGGGGGACUGGAAUUCUCGGUGUAGCAGUGAAAUGCGUAGAUAUCGAGAGGAACACCAGUGGCGAAGGCGGGUCUCUGGGCCGAUACUGACGCUGAGGAGCGAAAGCGUGGGGAGCGAACAGG